rnacentral:rRNA from 1 species
CAGCCGCCGCGGUAAUACGAGGGGGCUAGCGUUGCUCGGAAUUACUGGGCGUAAAGGGCGCGUAGGCGGACAUUUAAGUCAGAGGUGAAAGCCCAGGGCUCAACCUUGGAACUGCCUUUGAUACUGGGUGUCUAGAGUGCGGGAGAGGUGUGUGGAACUCCGAGUGUAGAGGUGAAAUUCGUAGAUAUUCGGAAGAACACCAGUGGCGAAGGCGACACACUGGCCCGUAACUGACGCUGAGGCGCGAAAGCGUGGGGAGCAAACAGGAUUAGAUACCCGUGUAGUCCCUGUCUCUUAUACA